UGUCAUUGUAGUCAAAUUAGAAGUUCUCUAACACCAAAGGUUCUGUACAUUUUCUAGAGACCAAUGUAAAACUACUUUCAUCCAACACCCAAUAGAGCUACAAUUUCUGCAUACACUAUACCCUCCCUAGAUCCCACACAUGGGAUACACACACACCAGCUCUAUUGUUGUUGGCGAUGUAGUCAAAUAAGACGUCCUCUAACACCAAAGGUUCUCUACAUUUUCUAGAGACCAACGUAAAACUACUUUCAUCUAACACUCAAUAGACCUACAUUUUAUGCAUACACUAUACCCUUCCGAGACCCAACUCAUGUGAUACACUUGGCUCUAUUGUUGUUGUCGAUGUAGUCAAAUAAGAAGUCCUCUAACACCAAAGGUUCUCUACAUUUUCUAGAGACCAAAUGUAAAACUAUUUUAAUCUAAUACUUAAUAAAACUACAUUUGCUA
rnacentral:lncRNA from 1 species